AGAACCUGAGCUCUUCAUACCGUUAAAAUCCCUCCGAAUGUAUCCUAAUAAAAUGGCAUUGCGCGUGGUGGGGAUGGUAGCAGAAGGAGGUGAGUUACCACGAUGAAUGGCUUCGAGAACCCUCUUCGUUUCUGCGCUUACCUUUUUGCUGAAUGAAUGAAUAAUAAUGCAAUUAACUUUGGCACCAGCACCCGAUGAUUAACGCUUUGCCAUUUACAUCUCUGAAAUUGCAGAAAUGUGGCCGAUGAGGCUGCAUUCGCCGUUGCGGUCGACGUUGUAGCUGAAAUCGCGGUCGCGGAUUGUUCUAAAACCUUGAUUCGUUUAUCUAAUGCUUAAUCCGAGCUUUAACAAGAAAACAUGUUGCAUUCGUUACGUUGUUGUCACGUAAUAUAUCCGUGUUAAAACAGGAAGUGAAGACUGUGCAUGCGAAGAGUACAAAUGCAGACCUAGUAUCAGGUGAUUGCUGUCUUCAUUGAGUUUCGGUGAAAAUAUAUGCAUCCUGUUUUAAUUAUUGGGAUUUAGUUGUAGAAGCAGGAAAGAGAAAUUAGAGACACUGAAUGAUAUUUUCUUGGGUUAUAAUGAUGUGAUGCAAUACUAAGCAUCAAUCUUUAUUUAUAUUCUCGCUAGACUUAUCCUAAUUAAAUGAAGGAACAAAAAUUAGGGAAUAUAAUGAAACUUGAUUACUUGAAAGUUGAAGCCACUCAAAAGAAAUUAGAUUAUCUGAGAUGCUCUAUUUAUUCUAAAGAUAAAAUAAUGAUAUGAUGUGGUAUUUUCUAGAUAUUCUAACCCAUCCAUCAUUUGUUUGUGGGCUAAAAACUGAAUCGUUACUCUUGUUCUGAAUUCAUUAGAUAAAUAUAAUAAGGUGUGUUGGCUUAAUGCCAUUUUCACCUCUAGGCCAUGUUUAAAUAUCUAAUAGUAAGUGGAAUGGAGUGAAGCAGAAUGAAAUAAAGUUACUAUUCUAUUGUUUGGAUAUUUUUAUGAUUGAAUAGGGAAAAAGAAAGAGCUUGGUUCCCUCCCGUACCCCCCAAGUUGGAGGGAAAGAAAAAGAGGGGGGUGUUGUAGCUAACUAGCCAUGUUUAGAAUAUUUCCUUGUUCAGUGUGAUU